CCUGUAGUCCGGUCUCUUCUUGAGAUAAAAAAUGUGUAUCACACAUACAAACUUCUGUUAAACCUACAGGUAUAUAAACUAUUCAACAAUUUAUAAUUAUAUCUGCUUUUAUAUUCGCACAUUUGUUUAUUAUAUUGUAAUAUUAAGUCAAACAAACCAUCAUAUUUAAGUUUUAACAUUAAUUUUCAAAUUUAAAAUGUGAAUAUAAAAACACGUGUUGCGUAAACAUUUUCCAUUAUCAUAAAAAAACAAUCUGAUAGUAAACGAUUUGUUUCCUUUAUAUGUUAAAAAAAGAACACUACGUUUCUAGGAUUUUAGUUUGUGUUUUUCUCAGAUGAAUGUUAUAGAAUCACAAAGAAUGAGCAAUAUAACGGACGUGUAAAUGCCACAGACAUCUCACAUGACACGAUCUAUAUGGCAACGUCCCAUAUGACUUCGGUCGAGAUGAUGUCGAGCAGUCACAAUCAGAUCUCAAUAUAAUUGACCCCGUGGCUUCUGUUACGUUUAUUUAAUCUUGAAUCGAUCUGAGCCAUUAUUAGUUCAGUGCGUCCGUGGCCGGCCGGUUUUCUUUUCUAAUUUUGUGACUAGAUCAGGAUUUUAAAAUUUAUUAUUGAAUAUUUUAAAUUAAUAUUUAUUGCUGAACUACAGUUAAGUUAUUACAAAUGUUUGAUCUUGUUGAUAUUGUUAAAAAGGCUCUUCUUAAUUGAGAGAAGGUCACAUUGUUUUGUCAUGUAUUUAUAGUUCAAUCUAAACUUCUAAUGAGUCUCAGUGGAGUAAUAUGUGAGACGUGGAAAUUCCGUAGGUUAAAUGUGUGGUAAAAUCAAAUCCUUAGCAUGUCUACUGUGUAAAGAAAAUAUUUUUAGAUUCAUUUUGUUAAUGUUGUUGAAGUCUUACCUGUAUUCCUAGCCUGUGAUAUGUGUUUCUGUGUGGUGAGCGAUCUUUGAUACGAACUGUAAUGGAUAAAGGGGCGAAGUUGGCUCGCGUGGGUGUAGUUCUAUACCAGUCAGGGGCUGCUUUCAGCCAAUUAUGCGUCGUGAUCAGCCAAGUUAGUUUGGCUGUCAGCCAAUCCAGUCUGGUCGUCAGCCAGUCCAGCGUGACUCUCGGACAGUUUAUACUCGCCUUCAGCCAGAUCAGCAACUCCGUCAGUCAGUACGUCUUUUUGGCCAAUCAACUCAGCAGCCUGAUCUUGCAGUUCAGCGCAGUGCUGAAGAAGUUGAGUGAGGGUAUCAGCGCCUUCAGCAAGGAAGUUCAGAGGUUCAGUGUGGUCAUGGUGCAGUUCAGUGUGGCGUUCAGACAUACCAGUAUCACCUUGGCGUAUUUCGGAAGGGCUUGCGGCGUUUUUGUCCUGAGUCUCCGAAGCGGAAGAAAGAUACCCUGGGUGUCGAUCUGUGUGGUGGUGCGACAGUGCAGUGAAGCUGUCUGCGGGUUAGGGGUUGCACUAGGCGAGUUCAGCGCCAUCUUAAGUAUCUUCACCACAUUGAAUUCUCAACUGUGCAGAGUAAUUUAUCUCCAGAUGAUGUCCAAAACGACGUGCGGAAUGAUUUUAUCGUUGGCGAAGAAAAUACGCCAGAUGAGCAUAGGUGUUGCUCAACUUAGCAGGGCGAUUUAUCAGUUGAGUCUGACAUGUGCACAUGUCACUCUCGUGGGGCAGCAAUGGUCCGUUGUACAGAAUCUUCUUCCAGGGUCAACGGACACUGUAGUCAGGGUCACAACGUCACCGAUAUAUUUACUAAGGCAGACUGUAAACUGUCUUGUAAUAUAUUUUCAUUGGGGUGCAGUGAGAUUGGGGACGAUUUUUAUCAUUCAAAUUAUGAAAUUUUCUGAGUUUAUUGUGGCUUCAGUUCAGAAUUUGGUUGAAAAGAUAAAAUGUUAUGUGGAAUGCCGCUUUUCGAAAGAGAAGAAAUCUGCUCUCACACUUGCUUCAAAUUUGGAUAUAGCUGUUCCUGUGAUACUGUCUUGUAGCGUGUAUGUGGAUAAGUAUUCGUGUGUGACUUUUCGCAAGGAACUUUUUCGUUUUCAUGAUAGCCUGUUCAGGAAGAAGAAGAGAAAAUCAAGAAACACUCCAAGACAGAUUGAUACUGUCUACAUAAAUGUAUUUAUCGACAGUGUUGUCUAUAGUUGUCGGAUUAAAUCAAUUUCGCCUUCCUUUGGAACACUUGAAAUGAAUUUUACUAAUGCUAUUUUAAAUGUGAUUGAAAAUGUUUUUGUUUUAAGCAGUCAAACUUGUGUAGAAAUGUGUCCACUUUUUGAUCAAAAUGAGGGAUACAGUUUGGACGUACCUUUAAAGAAGAUGUUAAAACUUAAUGAGCCAGUGGAAGUUUUAACUGUAGAUUUAAUGAGUAAUUACGAGUAUAACUGCCCUGAGUGUCACUGUAAUUGUUUUGUUUAGUUGUAAUAUUCUAUAAGUUAACAUUUACACCAAAUGCAAAAUAAUUUCGUAACUGUCAGAAUUAAAAAUGUGAUUAGUUUUUCGGGCUCUUCAAGCUUGUAUUCAAUUAAUUACGAGACAGUGGAUAUAAAAAGGAAUACUGUGUUCCUGUAAACAAGUAUACAGUUCUUUCAUCUAACCUUUGGCCAAGUCGCGUUUCUUUCGUUUGUGAAUAUUUUAAUGAGUACCUGGAACUCAGAGUUGAAAGAGAUUUUAUAAUUUCGAAAAGCUGUACAUUUAAACCUAUUUUCGGAACUGUAAGAAUCUCUGGAUAUCCUUAGAUCAUUAAUUGGAAGAACUUAUAACGAGAUAUUUUACAAAAGAUAUUUGCUACUUGAAACAUCUUUAAGCAUAUUAUCUGAACUUAUAAAUAAAAGUUUACUAGUUCAAAUAGCAUUACUAUUAUAAAUAUGUUACUGUUAAUAUUGAUAAAUAAGCGUCCAUAUUAUUACUUGAUAUUAUAAUUGUAACAGAAAGUCAGAUUUAAUUCUUAAUUUUCUGUGAGAGCGGGUUCGUUUUAGAGUUAAUUUCGUUUCCUAACGUGAUUUUGUGCAGCCUUUGGAAUAUGUCUCAUUUUUUGGAUGGAUACGUCAUAAUCCAGUCAAGUACAGGGUUAUGUCAUGGAUGGGGUGUAUGCCAAUAAGGUAAACACCAAAGAAGAACCGAGAUAAAGAAUCAAGGAAGCAUUUGCUGAGAUUGGUAAUCAAAUGUGAAUUUGUAUUGGGGUUGCACUAGAAUAUUGACUUUAUUAGUUAUGUGCAUAUUGAAAUUAAGUAAACCCUUUUCAUAGAACUUGAGAAAAGUGUCUAUAUUUUGGUUUUAAUUUUAUUACUGUAAGUGAAAAAUAAAGCUU
rnacentral:misc_RNA from 1 species